rnacentral:misc_RNA from 1 species
GUGAAUCAUCGAAUCUUUGAACGCAAAUUGCACUCUCUGGUAUUCCGGAGAGUAUGCCUGUUUGAGGGUAAGUUUAAAUAAAAAUCGGUGUGGUUGCUGCCUUUCGUGGUGACGCACCGGAUUUGGGUUGUCUUGACUUUGGUUAAGUGACUUAAAAUUUUGCAUGAUUUUUUCGAACGAUUUUAAAUGAUUUUAAGUACGUUUGUG